UAAUCAUAGUGGCGCACGGGUGCGUAACACGUAACUAACCUACCUAUAACUGGGGGAUAGCCCGCCGAAAGGCGGAUUAAUACCGCAUAAGCUUGUGAAGUGGCAUCACUUUAUUAGUAAAGAUUUAUUGGUUAUAGAUGGGGUUGCGGGUCAUUAGCUAGUUGGUAAGGUAACGGCUUACCAAGGCGACGAUGACUAGGGGAGCUGAGAGGCUGGUCCCCCACACGGGCACUGAGAUACGGGCCCG
rnacentral:rRNA from 1 species